CUGAGGAAACCUUUUCCACAAUUUUAUUGUUUAGAACAGUAGAUCUCUGGACACACACACACAAACUCUGUGGCUUUAAGUGAAAUUCACAAAACAGCAGCAUCAGUGCAAAAGCUUCUCAAUAUACAAACAACAGUGCUAGCUACGUACCAACCCCUCCACUAAAUCGACCCUUCCGUUCUCACUCUAUUACAUAGGCAAACGGGCUAUACCAUUCCCAUAACAGGGAUGUCCAGGAUAUUUGAACAACAUUGGAAUGUACAAAAUAAGCCUAGAAUAGCUCCACCUACUUUGGCAAGUUCUAACUACGUCACAACAACGUUAUACCAAUAGUGUCCUUUUCAAAACAGAACAAAAGUUUACAACAUGUAAUUCUUUUUUACAAGAAGGCCACACAAAUGAUAUCUAUGGAUGACAUCCUGGCGAUGCCCCAAAUUUGUAGUAAGAGAAUGGAAAAAAAAGUGAACAUAGUUUUAUCUGGUUAUGUAUGUUUUACAACCUAUCCUUUCUAACAGUAUACACCAUGAAUAACAUCAAUUGUACAUCACAUUAAACUGGCCUGAUGGCUUGAUCGGUAGUAUUACAGUGGUAGAGAAAAUAAUGCUAUACUGGACUGGAAAAAAAGUUUUGGGCAACCUGCAAUGCAGUUUCGAUACAUACAGAAGAUGGACAGUUGAUGUGUAUGAAAAAAAUGAUUGAUUUUGCUUUCUACGAAUUUAAAGCAGAUGUGUGAUUUUAGCUUCGUUUGAAAGUUACCAAAAAGGUUUCCUUGUGUCGAGGUGCAUUUUCUCCAGACAUAUUGUAUGGAAAGAUGUCAAGUGAGAAAAUAAAAUAUGCGGCACAUAUUUCAAAUGACAAAAAAAAAUUGAAAGAAGCAUAUGCUUAAAUGAAUAAAACAACUUUCUCACAUACACAUGUACACCAGACAUUAUACAUAUAUCUUACACCUGUCACUGUAACAAUUGAAUCCUCACAAUAGACUUCACAUGAAGGAGAUACAAAAUGCAAUAUUCAAGUCCACUUAUGAUGCCAUAAACAUCGCUUGAGUUUGAUCUAUGGCCUGUGAACACACAUUGGAAAUUGGCAAUGAGCAAUCAGCAAAUGGCCUUACACGCAGUUACAUGAUGGCAAAGAAGUGACAACCUGUAUUACAUGGGUCAUUAAGUACACAAGUCAUGGGCCAAUUCUAAAGACUGGUUUCAAGUCAGGGCUCGAAAUACCACCUGCAUAUGCAGGUUAGUGCAGGUAAAAUUGGAGCUGUGCAGGUAUUACAGAUGUCUUCCUGCACUGAUCCAUGUACUGAGUUUAUAUAGUACACGUUUCUUGACGUAGACUAUUACUAGCUACAUUGACUGUUACAACAUAUGAAGUAUAAAAGAAAUAAAGGCAAUGGUUUCUGAAGUUUUUAGUAUGAUCAAUACUUUCUAAAUUCUGAGACUUGCAGGUAAAAAUUGUCUGGUGCAGGUAAUUUUUAAUGUUACCCACACCUGUGCAGGUAUGCAGAAAAAAAAGUAUUUCAAGCCCUGCAAGUGUCACACCAAUCAUCAUAUUUCUUUGUCCUUGGGCUACAAAAGAAUGUUGAGAUGGAGAAUCAACAUGAAAACAAAGUCUGAGGGAAAGGCUGUACCUUAGCAUAAUGGUAGUUCACCUUUAUUCGCAGGGUAACCUAUAUCCGUUGCUUUCAGAAGACGGGCAUUUAGGGAUAUCAAUUCGACGGAUGAUAGUUUUAAACUACACUAGUUUGAACAUAUUACAACUUGAAACCUCCGUCUGUGGACUUGAUAUCCCUUAAUACCGUGUGGAUAAACACAACGAAUAUAGGUUACCCUGCGGAUAAAGGUGAACUAGCGUUACAUGUAUAUUGAGUUUCAAGAAGUGAAUACAGUCGUCAAAGUCAAGUUUUCCUCCCUGCCCUUACAUCUGUUUUCAUUCUGACCUCACCUCAGGGUUGUAGCCAGCCUGAAAUCAUUUUCUGUCCCCUCGAUUUUGAAUGGCUUUGGCGCAGCGUUCCUAAAGGGUCUGGGGGCAUGCUCCCCUGGAAAAUUUUGAAAUCUUAGACUAGAUCCUCUGAAAUGCUAUUUCCUGCAUUUUGAGGGUUAAAUUUUGCUCACAGAGGACGGAAUGGGCAAAAAAAUUUUCUGUCCCCAGCUGCAAAAUUCCGUCAAAGGACGGAAGGACGGGUGCUGGCUACAACCCUGCCUCUCCUUCUUACUUGGCAUAGAAAACACACAAUAUCAUACAUUUCACCUGGUCCCAAACAACCUUUCACUGAUGUUACCUCCUCUUAUUUAAAGAUACACUGUAUUGGCAGGAUUUGGAAUGUUUUCACUGAUAGGGACACACAUAACACACCUGGUAUACCGUAUCAUCCACAUCACAUAUGGCUAAUAUUUGCAAACAAACAAAAU